rnacentral:tRNA from 1 species
UCCUGGCUGGCUAGGUCAGUGGAGUGUGUGACUCUUGAUCUCAGGGUUGUGGGUUCAAGUCCCAUGUUGGGUG